rnacentral:misc_RNA from 1 species
GCGGUGAUGGGACUGCCAGACACACUAUUGGGCUUUGAGACAACAGGCCCGUGCCCCUUUUUUGGGGGGUGGCAUCCGGUUGCGGGUGUCGGCGUGUUGUUGCCUCACUUUGGUGGUGGGGUGUGGUGUUUGAUUUGUGGAUAGUGGUUGCGAGCAUCUAGCACGCAGUGUGGCUGGGGGCCUUCGGGUUUCCGGUCUUGUUGUGUGUUGAUGUGCAAUUUCUUUUGAAACUCAUUUUUGGUUUUUGUGUUGUAAGUGUUUAAGGGCGCAUGGUGGAUGCCUUGGCACUGGGAGCCGAUGAAGGACGUGGGAGGCU